UCCAGACUCCUACGGGAGGCCGCAGUGGGGAAUAUUGCACAAUGGGGGAAACCCUGAUGCAGCGACGCCGCGUGAGCGAUGAAGUAUUUCGGUAUGUAAAGCUCUAUCAGCAGGGAAGAAAAUGACGGUACCUGACUAAGAAGCCCCGGCUAACUACGUGCCAGCAGCCGCGGUAAUACGUAUGGAGCAAGCGUUAUCCGGAAUUACUGGGUGUAAAGGGAGCGUAGGCGGCAAGGCAAGUCUGAUGUGAAAACCCAGGGCCCAACCCUGGGACUGCAUUGGAAACUGUAUUGCUUGAGUACCGGAGAGGCAGGCGGAAUUCCUAGUGUAGCGGUGAAAUGCGUAGAUAUUAGGAGGAACACCAGUGGCGAAGGCGGCCUGCUGGACGGUAACUGACGCUGAGGCUCGAAAGCGUGGGGAGCAAACAGGAUUAGAUACCCCUGUA
rnacentral:rRNA from 1 species